GCAUGGUUUGCUGGGAAAGCUUUCGCGGUAUGGGAUGGGGUCGCGUCCUAUCAGCUUGACGGCGGGGUAACGGCCCACCGUGGCUUCGACGGGUAGCCGGCCUGAGAGGGCGACCGGCCACAUUGGGACUGAGAUACGGCCCAGACUCCUACGGGAGGCAGCAGUGGGGAAUAUUGCACAAUGGGCGCAAGCCUGAUGCAGCGACGCCGCGUGAGGGAUGGAGGCCUUCGGGUUGUAAACCUCUUUUAUCGGGGAGCAAGCGAGAGUGAGUUUACCCGUUGAAUAAGCACCGGCUAACUACGUGCCAGCAGCCGCGGUAAUACGUAGGGUGCAAGCGUUAUCCGGAAUUAUUGGGCGUAAAGGGCUCGUAGGCGGUUCGUCGCGUCCGGUGUGAAAGUCCAUCGCUUAACGGUGGAUCCGCGCCGGGUACGGGCGGGCUUGAGUGCGGUAGGGGAGACUGGAAUUCCCGGUGUAACGGUGGAAUGUGUAGAUAUCGG
rnacentral:rRNA from 1 species